CGGCGGACGGGUGAGUAACGCGUGGGUAACCUACCCCAAAGUCCGGGAUAACAGCGGGAAACCGCUGCUAAUACCGGAUGCCUUUACCUUGGGGCAUCUUGAGGUAAAGAAAGGUAACGCUUUGGGAUGGGCCCGCGUCCCAUUAGCUAGUUGGUGAGGUAACAGCUCACCAAGGCGACGAUGGGUAGCCGGCCUGAGAGGGUGGACGGCCACACUGGGACUGAGACACGGCCCAGACUCCUACGGGAGGCAGCAGUAGGGAAUAUUGCGCAAUGGACGGAAGUCUGACGCAGCGACGCCGCGUGAGCGAUGAAGGUCUUCGGAUCGUAAAGCUCUGUCCUUGGGGAAGAAGGCGAAAGCUUGACGGUACCCAAGAAGAAAGCCCCGGCUAACUACGUGCCAGCAGCCGCGGUAAUACGUAGGGGGCGAGCGUUGUCCGGAAUUACUGGGCGUA
rnacentral:rRNA from 1 species